rnacentral:rRNA from 1 species
ACGACGCUGGCGGCGUGCCUAAUACAUGCAAGUCGAACGCUUCUUUUUCCACCGGAGCUUGCUCCACCGGAAAAAGAGGAGUGGCGAACGGGUGAGUAACACGUGGGUAACCUGCCCAUCAGAAGGGGAUAACACUUGGAAACAGGUGCUAAUACCGUAUAACAAUCGAAACCGCAUGGUUUUGAUUUGAAAGGCGCUUUCGGGUGUCGCUGAUGGAUGGACCCGCGGUGCAUUAGCUAGUUGGUGAGGUAACGGCUCACCAAGGCCACGAUGCAUAGCCGACCUGAGAGGGUGAUCGGCCACAUUGGGACUGAGACACGGCCCAAACUCCUACGGGAGGCAGCAGUAGGGAAUCUUCGGCAAUGGACGAAAGUCUGACCGAGCAACGCCGCGUGAGUGAAGAAGGUUUUCGGAUCGUAAAACUCUGUUGUUAGAGAAGAACAAGGAUGAGAGUAACUGUUCAUCCCUUGACGGUAUCUAACCAGAAAGCCACGGCUAACUACGUGCCAGCAGCCGCGGUAAUACGUANGUGGCAAGCGUUGUCCGGAUUUAUUGGGCGUAAAGCGAGCGCAGGCGGUUUCUUAAG